GGUGCCGGUGUGAGGGGGGAGUGGGUUUGGGGUGCCGGUAACCCCGCUGAGCUCUGUACUGCCUCCAGAAUGUGCUUCGUGCCGCUGAAUCUAAAGGCAGUCUAAGCAAUCUUUAUUCUUUCCAUGCAUUGCCAAAAGCAGAAGUUAGUUUGAAAGACGACAUGAUGAGCAGCUCUGGUCAGGUGUUUGAAUGACUCAUCUGCAGAGGAGUUGAGGGUAAUGGAGGUGGGACAUGGGCUGUUCUCAUUUUGGAUCACUGUUUUUGGAACCUGCACUGGGAGUGGAGGAAGGUCUGUGGAACACAAAGUCUGCCACAAGACAAAUGGGGAGGGAGGCCCAAGGUCAGGUUUAAACUUGACUUGGUGUGCAGUAUUCUGCUUCCCUGCUGGAAAAUCAGUAGGCAUCUGUGAAGGGGAAAACGACAGAUGCUUGGAUUGCUAACAAAAAAAUGAUCACUAAAUAUACAUAAGAUGCAUAAAGCAACAUUACUGUGGUAAAACUUGGUAAAUAAAGAACAUAAGGUUAUCA